GCGCCCCGAGCGCCCGGCCGCUCGAAUGAGAGCGAGACAGCCGGGCCGUUGCCAAGAGACCGGGCGGGUUCUGACGCGCGGAGGCCGAGGGAGCUGUCGCCCGGGAGACGGGGAGGCGGGUCUGGAAAAGGAUGAGGAUAAAACAGAUGUGGGAGACACACAGUCCUGCAGAGCUGGGAAUUGGCCUGGAGUUUCUAAUCAAGGCUCUAAUAUUGACUUGCUUUGUGACCUUGGGCAGAUCUCUCCAUCUCUGUACCACACUGUAACAGGGUAAUAAUAUGUACAGACCUCAAAGGAUAUUAUGAAGAUCAGUUAAUGCUUUCAGAGACUCACAUGAAAAACAUGGUACUGUUUACUACUAUUGUUAUUAUUAAGCUAACACUCAAUUCUCAAUGGAGCUCCAGAGAAGGACAUGACGCAUAAACAGCCCAUACAAAGGCAACUGUAUGUGAACAGUGCCCCAGGAGUUAUAAAAAAUAUUACAUUAAUAAUGGUUCCUUUGCUGGAGUGGGAUUUUCCUCCCCUUAAUUAUAGUUGCUGAUAUUUUUUUUAAUUGAAUAAUUGUUUUCAACUAGCAAACAGAACUGAUAUUUUCCAGAGAAUACUUAGGAAUGACAGGCUCAAAGUUAGCAUAUCAAAAAAAGAUCAUUUAAAAAAUUACGAUUUAUGUCUCCCCCAAUGGGAAGCUGAAAGCUAGAAUUUAUAGAAAAAUUGAGCUCCUUGUGCAAAAAGCUGACUCUUCUUUGCCUGACACCUUGUAAGGGGUGGAGGCCAAAUGAGUGCAAAACGCACUCUUUUCCUCCUAUGUGCAAGAGGAAAAUCAAGCUGUCUGAGGACAUUCUGACUACUUCUAACUGGGCUGAGGAGCACUGCUGUAAAGCGUGCCCCAUCCACUUGCUCCCCCACCCUGCACAAAAAUACAUGACUUAGCUACAACUUGAGUGCAGCUGGGCAUGCACCAGUAAGUAUGCUCAGAUUUCCUGGUUAGUGUGACAGUUAUACCAGCAUAAAGGUGAUUGAACUGGUGGAGUUCAUUCCUGUGCAAUACCUGUGCAAGCCCUGUAUUGCUUUCAGGGCUGCUUUAACUCUGAUACAGUCUCUUGGUGCAGAGGAAAAUCCCCAUGAGGAGGAUGCCAGGAGACACCUAAGCCAUGGGAGGCGUAAUUCCAAUGAGGGAAUAGGGAUUCUAGGAACGAGGGCAUGCCUCAGUACAGAGGCCCAGGCUCUUCUCAAGGAUGCUCCUGGGGUUUUCCUGGCAAUAGAACUAGUAGCUUUUCAUUCAAUCUCUCCCCCUUAGGGGAAUGUCUUGGUGAAAGCCCCUGGGGUAGUCCUCCCUCCCCAGCUUGCCCACAGAAAGGAGUGAGCCAUUCUCAAACUGUUUAGUUAAAUGGCUUCCAAAGCACUUUGCAAGGAUUGCAACCUGCCUCUCACAGAAAGGAAGAAAGACUAAAACCAGUUUCAUUAUGGCCAGGCUCCCCUAGAGGCAGCCUAGCUUGUUACUGUAGGGUUGGUUAGUCUUUAUUCCCAUUCAUAAGUUCCUCAUUAAAAAAACUCGAAGCUAUCAAUAUAUUUGUUUUGAAAAUAAACUGUUUCCAGGGGUGGCAGGGGAAACGGUGCUGAAGUCAACAGGGUUUUGCCCGCUAACAUCAAAGCAGAAAUUGGUCCAUGAAGUAUAAGUAUUACAUGGAUUUUCUUUAUGGAGAUUUAGAGAACUUGGAUAAAUUACAAGGAAAGAAAAAUUAAGUAAAUAAGUAAAAUUUAGGUUAGUCUUUUAUAAAGUCACAGGAAAUCACUGGAUUAAAUGAAUGAAUAUCUAUUUAUUGUACAACCAAAGGGCCUCUUUGAAAUUACAUCAUAGGAUGUACUUGUUCCAUUCCAAUUAUUUUAAAUUUUUUUUUAAUUUAAAUGCUGUCAUCUGCUUACUGAGGCACUGUGAACUUAUUCUAAAAUAUAUUUUAUGCUACUGGAAUGUCACUGGUCUCUGUGUUGUAUAAUUAUCACCACAACAACUGUCUUUGUUAUGGUUGCUUAUGACAUUUCAUAAUGGUGCGAUGACAUAAUGCUCUUAACGUAUCCUGCACGAGAAACUCUUCAGAGCAUAAAACAGGGCUGUGCAACUUCUAUGAGGUAGGGGGCUACAUGCCACACAGGCCACGCCACUGUUGCACCAUGUCUGCAAGAAACCCAGCUUCACCCUCAACUCCUUGGCCACAGGCUCCCCUGCUGCACUGCACUGCAGAGGUACCCCAGAAUGUGGGCUACCUUGACAACGUGGGCUGCACCACCCCACCCCACUCUGCCCUGGAGUGGGGCAGAAGUUGGAAGCCAGAGAAGGGAGGAGGAACCCAGAGACCACAGCUGCUGCUGCAACCACAGCAGUGGCAAUGGGGAGAGCAACAACUGGGUGGGAGCCUAGGGACUGCAAAUUAACACCUCACCAGCCACAUGCAGCCCAUGAAGUCUUAUUUGGACAGCACUGCUUUUGAACAAUCUUCAGCCUUAGUCCUAAGAGUCAUAAAAUAACUGUAUUUAAUGAACACUAGUAGGUAAAUUGGGACUUCAGGUUUGUGGGGGGACUCCAGGUUACAAUAUUUAAAGCUCCUAGAAAUGGUUUACAUUUCUUUUCCUGAUGUCUGCCUGUACAUAAACCAAAAAUAAAGACAUUUCCCAUCCCAAA